rnacentral:rRNA from 1 species
GAUGAACGCUGGCGGCGUGCUUAACACAUGCAAGUCGAACGGAAAGGCCCAAGCUUGCUUGGGUACUCGAGUGGCGAACGGGUGGGUAACACGUGGGUGAUCUGCCCUGCACUUCGGGAUAAGCCUGGGAAACUGGGUCUAAUACCGGAUAGGACCACAUUUUGGAUGGUGUGGUGGAAAGUUUUUCGGUGUGGGAUGAGCUCGCGGCCUAUCAGCUUGUUGGUGGGGUAAUGGCCUACCAAGGCGUCGACGGGUAGCCGGCCUGAGAGGGUGUACGGCCACAUUGGGACUGAGAUACGGCCCAGACUCCUACGGGAGGCAGCAGUGGGGAAUAUUGCACAAUGGGCGCAAGCCUGAUGCAGCGACGCCGCGUGGGGGAUGACGGCCUUCGGGUUGUAAACUCCUUUCGCUAGGGACGAAGCGUUUUUGUGACGGUACCUGGAGAAGAAGCACCGGCUAACUACGUG